GCUAUCGUUCUAUCUGCUAAAAAUUACAUAUAGGUAUAUCGGCGGAGGUAAAGAAUAUGCACACCACCCGUUUUCGGCGUAACCCUAACCCUAAAUGUCGAAAACGGGUGGUAUGCGUUUUCGUCACCUUCGCCCACUUGGACAAAACAAUAGAUUUUUCCUCUUUGUUCAGAGAGGGAAGGGCAGUGAUCAUGUUCCUUUAUAUUUUUAAAGGUUCUCCGUGACUGGUAGGAAGAAAUAAGGAAGUUAUCUUAAAAUGGGACUCCUGUCCCGAACCUUAAAACAGAGUGAACUCUACUAAAGGUACCCAAGUACCAGGUGGUGGUGGUGCUAGGCGUUGUAUACUACCCAAAGGUUCAGAAUGUAGAGACAGAACAACUAACAAAGCAUCCCAUCCUAUGUUGUAACAAUUCCGUCAAUUUAUUCUCAUGGACUGGUUCUUUAGAUAAUGAGCUUUCUAAUUAUGGGCAUUUAAUGAUGGAUAACGAAGGGAAACAAACUAAAAAGAGUAAAUCAAUGUGAAAGAAAAUCAACCGUUAACAAGCUGUGAUGAUUGAAAAUCGUCAGUAAAGUAAAACUAUUACAUUAUCAAACUGGCGGUCUUUGGCUUUUAAGUACAUAUAACUGAGGAAUUGAUAAGGAAAGAAAAUCAAUUCCGGAAAGUACAGAAUUGGACUUGGGUAUCCCGAGUAAGCGAAACGAAUAUGUAAAUGCUUAAAAGUCGGUUAUUAAAUGUCAUUAUUGUGGAGGCGCAAUGGCCCAGUGGUUAGGGCAGCGGACUCGCGGUUUCGAUUCCCAGACCAGGCGUUGUGAGUGUUUAUUGAGCGAAAACACCUAGAGAUCCACGAGGCUCCGGCAGGGGAUGGUGGCGAACCCUGCUGUACUCUUUCACCACAACUUUCUCUCACUCUUACUUCCUGUUUCUGUUGUGCCUGUAAUUCAAAGGGUCGGCCUUGUCACGCUGAAUAUCCCUCGAGAACUACGUUAAGGAUACACGUGUCUGUGGAGUGCUCAGCCACUUGCACGUUAAUUUCACGAGCUGGCUGUUCCGUUGAUCGGAUCAACUGGAACCCUUGACGUCGUGAGCGACGGAGUGCCAACAACAACAAAAUGUCAUUAUUAUAAAUUUCUUUUAUUUGUGAACAGCCCAAUUCUUUAAAGUUGUUAUUAAUGUGAAAAAAGAAACUGCUUCGAUACUAGAUAUAUCAGCAUUAGGAUGCUACUGAGAAUAUUGGUAUUUUUUCUUUUCAAGUUACUCCUACUCCAUCACACUUGUGAUCAAAGCCCUUCCAGCUGUCAACUUGCAACUGUUCAAGAGGAAUAUUAACGGCUUCGAUUUCACCAGUCUUCUGGAGUUUGUGAAAAUAAUAAGCACAGCUCCUUCCUCUAGACCAAACCAUAAAAAAAAAAAAAACAUGGAUUCAACAA